UAAAAAUCUCAAGCUCAGCUUGGUGUUGGGUGUUUGCCCCUCCCCGUUACGAGGGGGUUCAGGGCAUGCCUGAAAAUCAAUGGCGGUGCCACGAUGGCCUCAAGCGUAGUAGACUCUCUCUCGCUUUGGAUGGUUCAUUGUGCGGUUCACCGGUCUAACCUAAAAUCUUAGAAAG
rnacentral:misc_RNA from 1 species